rnacentral:rRNA from 1 species
AUUGAACGCUGGCGGCAUGCCUUACACAUGCAAGUCGAACGGUAACAGGUCUUCGGAUGCUGACGAGUGGCGAACGGGUGAGUAAUACAUCGGAACGUGCCCGAUCGUGGGGGAUAACGAGGCGAAAGCUUUGCUAAUACCGCAUACGAUCUACGGAUGAAAGCGGGGGAGCUUCGGACCUCGCGCGGACGGAGCGGCCGAUGGCGGAUUAGGUAGUUGGUGGGAUAAAAGCUUACCAAGCCGACGAUCUGUAGCUGGUCUGAGAGGAUGAUCAGCCACACUGGGACUGAGACACGGCCCAGACUCCUACGGGAGGCAGCAGUGGGGAAUUUUGGACAAUGGGCGAAAGCCUGAUCCAGCCAUGCCGCGUGCAGGAUGAAGGCCUUCGGGUUGUAAACUGCUUUUGUACGGAACGAAAAGCCUCUUUCUAAUAAAGAGGGGUCAUGACGGUACCGUAAGAAUAAGCACCGGCUAACUACGUG